rnacentral:rRNA from 1 species
UGGGGAAUCUUGGGCAAUGGGCGCAAGCCUGACCCAGCAAUACUACAUGAUUGAUGAAGGCUUUUUGGUUGUAUAUUUCUUUAACUAAAGAGGAUGAUGACAGUAUUUAGUUGAAUAGCCCCGGCUAACUUCGUGCCAGCAGCCGCGGUAAGACGAAGGGGGCGAGCGUUAUCCGGAAUGACUGGGCGUAAAGGGUUCGUAGACGGUCUUUUUUGUAAACGGUGAAAUCAAGGAGCUCAACUCCUAGCAGCUGUUUAAACGUUUUGACUAUGAGUCGGAUAGAGGAUAGCAGAAUUUUACAUGGAGGGGUGAUAUCCAGAGAUAUGUAAAGGAAUCCCAGUGGCGAAGGCGGCUAUCCAGCUCCGUACUGACGUUGAGGAACGAAAGCAUGGGGAGCAAA